rnacentral:lncRNA from 1 species
AGAUCAUGAAUUGAGGCUGAGAGUAGGAUUACCAGUAAUGCUUAUGAAGAACAUCAAUUAAAGUGCACGACUUCGAAAUGAGACACGAAUAACAAUAACACAACUAGGAAAGCGUUUCACCGAAGGCCAGGUCGCAACAUGUCCUAAAUUGGUGGCAAAGUUUACAUCCCACGAAUUAUCAUGUCAUAUUCAAAAUGGCCUAUCAUUCUGAAAAGGAGAAAAUACUCAAUAUCAGUGUGCUUUGUUCUGACUAUAAACAAAAGUCAGGUGCGAUCUCUCAAAAAGGUUGGACUCUACUUAGAAAGGCAAGUGUUCACACAUCGCCAAUUCUAUGUUGCAAUGGCAAGGGUUAGCAGCAGAAAUGGAUUGCAGAUAUCCAUAUCAGAUGAAGAGCGCCCAUCCGAUCCGACAAGGUUGCAAAGAACGUUGAUAUUUGUUUUUUAACAGCUAUAACUAGAACAAGUAAAACCAUUCACAUCUGACUAAAUAUUUAUCUGUUUUAAAAUGUUCUCUCUGAAAUAAAGCGGGGCGAGAGCCUUUUUCGGUAAUAUUUUAUUUAUCACCAAAGGUACUUCUCUGCAUUAGGUAAACAAAAAAUAUUGGAGUAAGGGCUCACAACUGAUUUGACAAAAUCAAUAUCAAAUGCAUUACGGAUGUGUUUCUAAAGUUACAGAACCAUAGAGGAAGCAAGAUCAUUUUCUCAAUUACAAUAACCUUUCUUUCUUAGGUAGACCUAGCAAAUCAGAUCCGAUUUCACAAAUAAUAGAAAAUUUCAACAAUGUAAUUGCUAAAUAAAUAACUGAAACAAGUAAUUUGGUAACCGUGCUAUGCAUGCCCACCCUACUCAAAUCUAUUUCCUAGAGAGAGGAGACGGUAAGGCAAGAGAGGAUAUGCACCUGUUCGUACAAACGCUGGGUAAAAGGAAAAAAAGAAGCAUAGUGAAUGGAUAAGAUGCUGCUCAUUUCUUUGGUAGAUGGAUACGAGUCGCCAGCGCUGCUGGAUGAGGAAAAUCCGCUCAAUAACGCGGUCGUCCGAGGAGAUUGCAGCUUCAGCGGAGACGGCGUAGCACAACGCAGAGGGGGACGACGGAUGGCCGCCGCUCCGACCGGUGCUGCGAUGCUGUUCGCGAGGAAGAACUUUGCGACGUUACUGAUGCACGCGCUGUCCACGAGA